AAUUUAAUAGUUUAAUAAAACAAUGAUUUGUGGUAUCAUAGAUAUUAAAUUU
rnacentral:tRNA from 1 species